GUGCUCGCUUUGGGAGCACAUACACUAAAAUUGGAACAAUACAGAAAAGAUUAGCAUGGCUGCUGCCCAAGGAUGACACGCAAAUUUGUGCAGCAUUCCAUAUUUUU
ensembl:snRNA U6 U6 spliceosomal RNA